rnacentral:rRNA from 1 species
GAUGAACGCUGGCGGCGUGCUUAACACAUGCAAGUCGAACGAAGAUGCCGGAGUGCUUGCACUUUGGCAGACUGAGUGGCGGACGGGUGAGUAACGCGUGGGUAACCUGCCUUAUACAGGGGGAUAACAGUUGGAAACGACUGCUAAUACCGCAUAAGCGCACGGUAUCGCAUGAUACAGUGUGAAAAACUCCGGUGGUAUAAGAUGGACCCGCGUCUGAUUAGCUUGUUGGUGAGGUAACGGCCCACCAAGGCGACGAUCAGUAGCCGGCCUGAGAGGGUGAACGGCCACAUUGGGACUGAGACACGGCCCAGACUCCUACGGGAGGCAGCAGUGGGGAAUAUUGCACAAUGGGGGAAACCCUGAUGCAGCGACGCCGCGUGGAGGAAGAAGGUCUUCGGAUUGGUAAACUCCUGUUGUUGAGGAAGAUAAUGACGGUACUCAACAAGGAAGUGACGGCUAACUACGUG